GCCGAGCUCGUCUGGAUUCCCCACCAUGGCCUGGGCCCCUCUGCUCCUCACGCUGCUCACUUACUGCUCAGGUUCCAGCUCGCAGCCUGUGCUGACUCAGCUGCCCUCAGUGUCAGUGUCCCCAGGAAACACCGUGAAACUCUCCUGCACCAUGAGCAGUGGGACCAGCAUCGGUGACUACUAUGUGUACUGGUACCAGCAGAAACCUGGGAAUUCCCCACGAUACCUGCUGUAUUACUAUACGGAUUCCAGCAAGGGCCAGGGCUCUGGGGUCCCUGCUCGAUUCUCUGGUUCCAAAGACACGUCCAGUAACGCCGGCUAUCUGACCAUCUCUGGGGUCCUGGCAGAGGAUGAGGCUGAUUAUUACUGUGCUGUGAUAAAGAGUGGCACUGCUGCUCCACACAGUGAUACAGACAGAUGGGGAAGAUGGGGACUAUCACCUUCUCCCUAA